CAGUCGCCGCGGUAAUACGUAGGUGGCAAGCGUUGUCCGGAAUUAUUGGGCGUAAAGGGCUCGCAGGCGGUUUCUUAAGUCUGAUGUGAAAGCCCCCGGCUCAACCGGGGAGGGUCAUUGGAAACUGGGAAACUUGAGUGCAGAAGAGGAGAGUGGAAUUCCACGUGUAGCGGUGAAAUGCGUAGAGAUGUGGAGGAACACCAGUGGCGAAGGCGACUCUCUGGUCUGUAACUGACGCUGAGGAGCGAAAGCGUGGGGAGUGAACAGGAUUAGAUACCCGCGUAGUCCCUGUCUCUUAUAU
rnacentral:rRNA from 1 species